AGGGAGGUUCCGAAUCGGAUAAGUCAAUUGAAGAGGCAGCUUUGAGAGAGUCAGAGGAAGAAGCUGGUGUAAGAGGCAAAGUUCAGAAUAAACUAGGUGAAUGGGGUUUCAGGAGACAAAGAUAUAACACAAUCUAUGAAGGUGUGUCAUGUUCCCUUUACUUGUUAAAGAACAACUUGAUCAAUGGUCUGAGAAGAACCAUCGGCAAAGGAAAUGGGUAAGUAUAGUUUUAAUGAACCUCAGAUUUGCAUCAAUGGAAACUGAAGUUAAAAUGUAAUUCUUGGUGGUUUGAUUUUUAAUUAUAGGUGAUUGUGACUGAGGCUAGAGAACUGUGUCAACAUUGGUGGAUGAAAGAAGCACUAGACAGACUGGUUAGACGCUUGAUGCAA